UACGGGGGGGGCAAGCGUUGUUCGGAAUUACUGGGCGUAAAGCGAGCGUAGUCGGUUAUUUAAGUCGGGUGUGAAAUCCCCGGGCUCAACCUGGGAAUUGCAUUCGAUACUGGAUAGCUAGAGUUCGGCAGAGGGAAGCGGAAUUUCCGGUGUAGCGGUGAAAUGCGUAGAUAUCGGAAGGAACAUCAGUGGCGAAAGCGGCUUCCUGGACCAGAACUGACGAUCAGGCUCGAAAGCGUGGGGAGCAAACAGG
rnacentral:rRNA from 1 species